rnacentral:rRNA from 1 species
UACGGAGGGUGCAAGCGUUAUCCGGAUUCACUGGGUUUAAAGGGUGUGUAGGCGGGCAGUUAAGUCAGUGGUGAAAUCUCCGGGCUCAACCCGGAAACUGCCAUUGAUACUAUCUGUCUUGAAUUUUGUUGAGGUAGGCGGAAUAUGUCAUGUAGCGGUGAAAUGCAUAGAUAUGACAUAGAACACCAAUUGCGAAGGCAGCUUACUAAAUUAUAACUGACGCUGAGGCACGAAAGUGUGGGUAUCAAACAGG